GAUGAACGCUGGCGGCGUGCCUAAUACAUGCAAGUCGAGCGAACGGACGAGAAGCUUGCUUCUCUGAUGUUAGCGGCGGACGGGUGAGUAACACGUGGAUAACCUACCUAUAAGACUGGGAUAACUUCGGGAAACCGGAGCUAAUACCGGAUGAUAUUUUGAACCGCAUGGUUCAAAAGUGAAAGACGGUCUUGCUGUCACUUAUAGAUGGAUCCGCGCUGCAUUAGCUAGUUGGUAAGGUAACGGCUUACCAAGGCAACGAUGCAUAGCCGACCUGAGAGGGUGAUCGGCCACACUGGAACUGAGACACGGUCCAGACUCCUACGGGAGGCUGCAGUAGGGAAUCUUCCGCAAUGGGCGAAAGCCUGACGGAGCAACGCCGCGUGAGUGAUGAAGGUCUUCGGAUCGUAAACCUCUGUUAUUAGGGAAGAACAUAUGUGUAAGUAACUGUGCACAUCUUGACGGUACCUAAUCAGAAAGCCACGGCUAACUACGUG
rnacentral:rRNA from 1 species